rnacentral:rRNA from 1 species
UACGUAGGUGGCAAGCGUUGUCCGGAUUUACUGGGCGUAAAGAGCGCGCAGGCGGUCGUUCAAGUCGCGUGUGAAAGCCCCCGGCUCAACUGGGGAGGGUCACGCGAUACUGAUCGACUCGAAGGCAGGAGAGGGUAGUGGAAUUCCAGGUGUAGCGGUGAAAUGCGUAGAUAUCUGGAGGAACACCGGUGGCGAAGGCGGCAUCCUGGACCGAGACUGACACUGAGGCGCGACAGCGUGGGGAGCAAACGGGG